rnacentral:rRNA from 1 species
GAUGAACGCUGGCGGCGUGCCUAAUACAUGCAAGUCGAGCGAACGGACGAGAAGCUUGCUUCUCUGAUGUUAGCGGCGGACGGGUGAGUAACACGUGGAUAACCUACCUAUAAGACUGGGAUAACUUCGGGAAACCGGAGCUAAUACCGGAUAAUAUUUUGAACCGCAUGGUUCAAAAGUGAAAGACGGUCUUGCUGUCACUUAUAGAUGGAUCCGCGCUGCAUUAGCUAGUUGGUAAGGUAACGGCUUACCAAGGCAACGAUGCAUAGCCGACCUGAGAGAGUGAUAGGCCACACGGGAGCUGAGACACGGUCCAGACUCCUACGGGAGGCAGCAGUAGGGAAUGGUCCGCAAUGGGCGAAAGCCUGACGGAGCAACGCCGCGUGAGUGAUGAAGGUCUUCGGAUCGUAAAACUCUGUUAUUAGGGAAGAACAUAUGUGUAAGGAACUGUGCACAUCGUGACGGUACCUAAUCAGAAAGCCACGGCUAACUACGUG